AUUGAACGCUGGCGGCAGGCCUAACACAUGCAAGUCGAACGGUAGCACAGAGGAGCUUGCUCCUUGGGUGACGAGUGGCGGACGGGUGAGUAAUGUCUGGGAAACUGCCCGAUGGAGGGGGAUAACUACUGGAAACGGUAGCUAAUACCGCAUAAUGUCGCAAGACCAAAGAAGGGGACCUUCGGGCCUCUUGCCAUCGGAUGUGCCCAGAUGGGAUUAGCUAGUAGGUGGGGUAACGGCUCACCUAGGCGACGAUCCCUAGCUGGUCUGAGAGGAUGACCAGCCACACUGGAACUGAGACACGGUCCAGACUCCUACGGGAGGCAGCAGUGGGGAAUAUUGCACAAUGGGCGCAAGCCUGAUGCAGCCAUGCCGCGUGUAUGAAGAAGGCCUUCGGGUUGUAAAGUACUUUCAGCGAGGAGGAAGAUGUUGUGGUUAAUAACCGCAGCAAUUGACGUUACUCGCAGAAGAAGCACCGGCUAACUCCGUGCCAGCAGCCGCCGUAAAAC
rnacentral:rRNA from 1 species